rnacentral:rRNA from 1 species
UACGAGGGGGCAAGCGUUGUUCGGAAUUAUUGGGCGUAAAGGGUGCGUAGGCGGUCUGACAAGUCUGAUGUGAAAUCUAUGGGCUCAACCCAUAGUCUGCAUCGGAAACUGUCGGGCUUGAGUAUGGGAGAGGUGAGUGGAAUUUCCGGUGUAGCGGUGAAAUGCGCAGAUAUCAGGAAGAACACCCGUGGCGAAGGCGGCUCUCUGGGACGGUACUGGACGCUGAGACGCGAAAGCGUGGGGAGCGAACAGG